rnacentral:tRNA from 1 species
AGGCCAGUAGCUCAGUUGGUAGAGCGCCGGUCUCCAAAACCGGGUGUCGGGGGUUCGAGUCCCUCCUGGCCUG